GAUAGAUGAAUACGUGGAUGAAUGAGUUGGUAGAUGGGUGAAUGGGUGAAUGGAAAGAUGGAUGAUGUCGAGAGUCAGUGUUUUCACAAAAUCUCCCUGCCCAGGGAGGAGUCCAUUCUCAGGCCAGGCCCUGCCGUCACCCCACAGCAGCCCUGCCAUGGCCCUUCUCUCCUCAAUGGCCUUCGAGGGAAAAGGAAGAAAUGUGUCUUGGCUGGAGGCCCACGUUUCGUUCCAGCACAUCCUUUUUACCAAAAGAGCCGUCCCUGGAGCUGCCAACAGUGUUUACAAGAAAACCAUCCAACAAUAGUUUGGAUCUGGGAGCGUGGCCUGACCACAGACGUGGCCUUCCCCACCCUGAGAACCAACCAUCAGGAAGCCUGGCACAUGAUACGAAAAGGCAGAGGUGCAGAAACAGACGCUGUGCAUGUCCCUGCAAGAGUGAUACAAGAUGACUGAGAAAUGUCAUCUGAGAGAAGGGGAAGAACCAGCCCUACAUUAAAAAGGUAAAGAAAUAGAAGAAAAAAAAAUCAUGAAGUCAGUGUGUAAUUAUAGUUGAUGCAUAUAUUGUAUUUUAUAAUGCCACCUGACCUGCCUCUUGAGAAAUCUGUAUGCAGGUCAGAAAGCAACAGUUAGAAAUGGACGUGGAACAACAGACUGGUUCCAAUAGGAAAAGCUGUACGUCAAGGCUGUAUAUUGUCACCCUGCUUAUUUAACUUGUAUGCAGAGUACACCAGGAGAAACGCUGGGCUGGAUGAAGCACAAGCUGAAAUCAAGAUUGCCAGGAGAAAUAUCAAUAACCUCAGAU
rnacentral:lncRNA from 1 species